ACAAACACGUUACUCAGCAUGCUGUUGGUAUUGUAAACAACUUGUAAACAAACAAGUCAAGGGCAAGAAUCUUGCCAAGAGAAUUAAUGUGCGUAUUUAGCACAUUAAGCACUCUAAGAGCCAAGAUAGCUUCCUGAAACACAUAAAGGAAAAUGAUUGGAAAAACAAAGAAGCCAAAGAGAAAGGGAUGGCUGGGGGAGCCAGGGAGAAUCUCUCUAACUUCUCAAGCAUCUUUGAGUCCAACAAAACACAACAUGGAAAGUGAAGACUACACAUCAUAAAAGCCUCAAAUUUUAUCUAUGAGAAAACUGAAACCAACCCAAUAGUCCCACAGACAGUUCUUUUGGCACAAAAAGUAUCAAAGAACUGAAACCAGAUCACCCCACCAGAUGCCAGACCCCUCAUUCACCAUUAUUGCUUCCUUGCCCCUCCCAAGUUCCUGUUUUCUUAUACAUUGUUAUAAUCUAUGUCUUCCCUGCUAUAUAAACCCUGGUUUUAGUCAGUCAGGGAGAUGGAAUUGAGACCGAGCUCCCAUCUUCUCAGCUGCUGCACCUGAUUAAAGCCAUCUUCCUUGGCAAUACUCAUUGUCUCAGUG